rnacentral:rRNA from 1 species
GGGAACUGAAACAUCUAAGUACCCGGAGGAAAGGAAAUCAAUAGAUACUCCCUUAGUAGCGGCGAGCGAACGGGGACCAGCCGAGCUGUGAAUGUGACUAGAAUCCGUUGGAAAGCGGAGCAAUAUGGGUGACAGCCCCGUAUAGGAAGCAUGAUCAGACGUAUUAAGUAGGGCGGAACACGUGAAAUUCUGUCUGAACAUCGGAGGACCACCUUCGAAGGCUAAGUACUCCUUACUGACCGAUAGCGAACCAGUACCGUGAGGGAAAGGUGAAAAGCACCCCGACGAGGGGAGUGAAACAGUACCUGAAACCGA